rnacentral:ncRNA from 1 species
CAAAGGUAUGGUCCCAACCUUUCUAUCAGCCUUAACCUAACUUACACAUGCAAGUCUCCGCACCCCUGUGAGUACGCCCUCAAUCCCCUAACUCGGGGAUAAGGAACAGGUAUCAGGUACAAGCAUCUUAGCCCAAGACGCCUAGCCAAGCCACACCCCCAAGGGAACCCAGCAGUGAUAGAUAUUAAGCCAUGGGUGAAAACCCGACUUAGUUAAGGUUAAGAGGGCCGGUAAAAUUCGUGCCAGCAACCGCGGUUAGACGAAUAACCCUAGUUGAUAGCGCUACGGCGUAAAGGGUGGUUAAGGGGAAUAAUAAUAAAGUUAAAUGGCCCUUCGGCUGUUAUACGCUUCUAGGAGCCCGAGACACAAACACGAAAGUUACUUUAAUAAAAAUACCUGACUCCACGAAAGCUGAGAAACAAACUGGGAUUAGAUACCCCACUAUGCUCAGCCGUAAACAAAGACAUAUUUAUACAACAAUGUCCGCCAGGGUACUACGAGCACCAGCUUGAAACCCAAAGGACCUGACGGUGCCUUAGACCCCCCUAGAGGAGCCUGUUCUAGAACCGAUAAUCCCCGUUAAACCUUACCAUUUCUGGCCAACCCAGCCUAUAUACCACCGUCACCAGCUUACCCUGUGAGGGAGUAAGAGUAAGCAAAAGGAGCACCGCUCAAAAUGUCAGGUCGAGGUGUAGCGAACGAAGUGGGAAGAAAUGGGCUACAUUUUCUAUAACAGAAUAUUACGAAUAUGCAAUAUGAAAUUAUUGCUUAAAGGAGGAUUUAGUAGUAAAAAGGAAGCAGAGUGUCCUUUUGAAUCCGGCUCUGAGGCGCGUACACACCGCCCGUCACUCUCCCCUGUCAUAAUGCGUAACAGACCUACUUAACACACAAGCAUAGACAAGGGGAGGCAAGUCGUAACAAGGUAAGUGUACCGGAAGGUGCACUUGGAUAAACU